GGCCUUUUGAAUUUAAUUUAAGGUCUGACCUGCCCAAUGAGGAUUAAAUGGCCGCGGUAUUUUGACCGUGCUAAGGUAGCAUAAUCAUUAGUUUCUUAAUUAGAAACUGGAAUGAAAGGUUUAAUGAGAAAAUAGCUGUCUCUUGAAUUUUAAUAGAAUUUUAUUUUUAAGUAAAAAAGCUUAAAUUUUAUUGUAAGACGAGAAGACCCUGUAGAGUUUAAUAAAUCAAUUUUGUUAAUUAUUUUUGUGAUUUAAGUCGAUAAAUGAAGUUAUUUAUUUAGUUGGGGUGAUUGAGAAAUUUAAUUAACUUUUUCUUAUCUUUACAUUAAUUAAUGAUUUUUUGAUCCAAUUUUUUUGAUUAUAAGAUAAAAUUACCUCAGGGAUAACAGCGUAAUCUUUUUUUAGAGUUCUAAUCGAUAAAAGGGGUUGCGA
rnacentral:rRNA from 1 species